AGAAUCCAAGAGCAGCUACAGCGACUGCAGCUACAUAACCUGAGUUUCACUUCUCUAUCACUUAUGUUUAUUCAACCAUAGAUGAAGGAAAGUCAAAAGAACUGAUGUGUUAAUAGUUAUUACAU